rnacentral:rRNA from 1 species
ACCGGUGGUUAUGGCGGAGCGGCUGCACCCGAUCCCAUUCCGAACUCGGCCGUGAAACGCUCCAGCGCCAAUGGUACUUUGUCUCAAGACACGGGAGAGUAGGUCGCUGCCGUCU